rnacentral:rRNA from 1 species
UCCUGUCAUCCUGAGAGGACCACCUGUUGCGAAGGCGCCACACUAGAACGGAUCCGACGGUCAGGGACGAAACCUAGGGGCACGAACCGGAUUAGAUACCCGGGUAGUCCUAGGUGUAAACGCUGUGGACUUGAUGUUGGGGGUGCUCCGAGCACUCUCAGUGUCGAAGCGAAGGUGAUAAGUCCACUGCCUGGGGAGUACGGUCGCAAGGCUGAAACUUAAAGGAAUUGGCGGGGGAGCACCGCAACCUGAGGAUUGUGCGGUUUAAUUGGAUUCAACGCCGGAAAACUCACCAUAGCCGACGGACAAAUGAAGGCCAGUGUAAUGAGCUUGCUGGAUUGUUCGAGAGGUAUUGCAUGGCCGCCGUCAGUUCGUACCGCAAGGCGUUCUGUUAAGUCAGAUAACGAACGAGACCCUCAUCCCUAUUUGCCAACUGGGUCUCCGGACGUAGCGCACUAUAGGGAGACCGCUGGCGCUAAGUCAGAGGAAGGCGAGGGCAACGGUAGGUCAGUAUGAUCCGAAUGCCAUGGGCUACACGCGCAAUACAAAGGACGGGACAAUGGGCUGCAACUCCGAGAGGAACGACGCUAUCCCGAAAC